rnacentral:lncRNA from 1 species
AUAGUCACCCUUAGAGGAUUGUUUUUCAUUUCAAAUAUAUCACAGAAUUGCACAGCCCACACAUGACCAAGUAACAUAUAUUGUAUAUAGCACAACUUUCAAAAUAUCAGAAGAGUUGCAUCAGAAUUACAUUGAUCAUGAUGAGUAAUCUAGAAAGUUUAAAAUGCAAAAAAAACUAAGAUAUAAUGGUCCAAGCAUUAUGCAUAAGCUAGAUUGACCAAAACCCCAUGAUUUCACUUUGUUGAACGUCUUGAAGAAAGAUCACUAGACUCGUCACCCUUCAUCACCAUAUGGAUCAUAAUGCUCGUCGCCAAAUAGAUCAUAACAAUCAUCGCCAUAGACAUCAUCACCCUUGCCAUAGAUCAUGAUUCUUCAGUACUGUCUCCCAUUCCUAAGAAAUGAUUAGACUAGAUGUAAGGGAGAUGAAAACGACAUACUGUAGUUUAAAUUUAAUUGAUGAUACAAAAAAAGGAACUUAGAUGUUCUAAUUGACUGGUUAGAUAUCUAACAGUAUGACUACGUACUCACCUUUUGGUCCUUCACAUGCAAUUUUCAGGGUUACAUGAAUCAGCAGGAACGCAACUCCAAAUAAUAGACUGAGUACUACACGUUGCUCUGUGUACAAAAGGAAUAUACCAAUAAACUGCACUAAUGUCAAUUUCAUUAUAAGUUUGCAACGGUUCAGAACACAUCAUGCUUUCCAAAUUACUUGUAACAUUAAUAUAAUUCGAAGCACACGACAUUUUUUAAUUAACUGUAACAAUCGUAUGUCCAGAACCCGCAUGUAAUAUGGUUACACCAAGAUGGCCAUGUGAUACAGGUAAAAAAACCUUAUCUGAAAGACACAUAUGUCGUGUCGAUAAUCGAUUCAUUGGCUUGUUGAAGUUGUAAAAUGAUAACCAAGUACAAAUGUACAACAGACAUCUGCAACCCCACUGAAGUAUAUAUACUAGCGCUUAUAUUUUGUAGUCUGAUGACACAACAGAAGCAGUAGACUAGCAUAACACUAUUGGCUAGUUUGGGCAUACAAUAAAUACAAAAAACAGAUUUAGAAUGUCAUGUAAAGAAAGAUAUAAAUACAAAAAACAGAUGUAGAAUAGCAGUAGCACACUAAUCUCCACCAACUAUAGUUAUUGCGCAUAGCAAAUUAAGCAACUUCUUAUGUUUCGUAUGACAUGUCACAAUCAUUCUUCAUGUUAAGCUACCAUUAUUUCUGUAUGCACUUCCAAAAAAAUUCAAUAUUGUCCACUUUUUUAGAUAAACAGAGAGGCGGCCCCCUGGUUCCAUUACUAAAAUGAAACCAAGUUUGCUGGACAUUCUCAAAAGCAUCAAGGUCUGGAAAGUUGAGGACCAAAAGAGGCAAAGCUAGUACAGGGAAAAACAAAAGCUAGAAAGGAGGACGCCUGAUGAGGGUCAAACAUGCCAGAUCAUAUUAUCUAAUGUUGAAAUAUUUUUCUCUGUGCAAAUGAUUUUACUGUUAUUGAUUAUAGCAACAUUUUUUCCUAUAUGAGUUCAACCAAAUUGUGCCAUCGCACCUUAAUUAAGAUGGAUUUAAUAGAUAGAUAUCUCAGUUAUGAGCCACAUCUGGGAAAAUAGGGCAUAAGCAGUUGCAUACAUCAUAUAUAGUACAACAGUACCACGUAGGCAAUGAGGUAAGCUAAGAAAUCAGGCUCAAAUAAAAAGAGCAUGUCUCAAAGCAAGUUAUCCGCAGCAUGCUCAUGUUGUCCAGAACUAAAUUGGCGCAUAACUAAAUGGGUAAGACAUGAUGGACUAACCUUUUCAGCUAGUCUUGACGAGCAUCAUCUCACCCCCUUUGAAAGCCGCCUUCAAAAUCUGAUGUGGCCUAUAUUUAUCAAACUGUAAGAAACCCUGCUCUACAUCUUUGAGAAAGAACACACAGGACAUGAUGUUAACAUGUCAGUGACUGCUUCAGCCUUAGGCAUACAAGUUAAAUGUUACAGAACUACAAAAUACUGAUAAGAAAAGCAAAAGCGAGAUUACAAAACUUAUAAUUACAUCUACGAACCAAAACUGAAGGAAAAAGAACUAGGAAUGUACGUACUAUGACAUGAAUGGAGGACCUCUUCAAUGUUAGUUGGUUUGCUUACAGGGACUGCUAGUUAAGCUAUACAGUAGUAUCAAGUAUACAUGCCAGUCCUGAUUACACACGCUGAUAUAGGGUCUCUUCUCUUAUGUACUAUUCCCAACUGCCGCAACUAGCUAGCCUUGACCAAACAUGCAUGCAUCAACACAAGCUAGCCAGCUCAACUCACCGACGCAAAUGGCCACUUGCUAGUUAAUCAAACUAUUUUUCAACACAUAGGCUUGACUUUACUUUCCAAACUAAUAGGCUCGGCUUUGUUUUUCAACAACCAUACAAAAGAAAAAAACUAAACAGACAUGCAAACAACCAUGGCCUCGUUAUAGAACUUGAACCUCACCACCACACUAGCCCUUCAUGGCACCAUCUCCUCCAUCUCCCCGCUAUUCAACUUGAACAACAGGAGCAAAUCCUGCACCACAACCACCAGAACACAAUCCCACCAUCCAGUACAAAAGCACACGUACACACGCCACAUAUAUGACCUGCUCAACGAAUUGCGCAAAGCCCAAAAGAAGAGGCGACCGGACCUGGUACAGGUGGGUGGAGGCGGGUGUGGGCGUGGUCCACUCGGCGACAUCAGAGGGGCACACGGAUGAGGAGGAGUUUCAGGAAGGGGCUGAUACAUGGCGUAGGAGGUGAAGGGAGAGAGAGCCCAUGA